rnacentral:snoRNA from 1 species
UACUGAUAUUGGUGAGGGUAAUUUCUAGGAAUACCUUUAAAUCUUUCCCAAGCUUGGUAAAUAUUUUCUCCUUUUUUCUGCUUGAAACGUAGAAUCUUUGCUCUCAAGCA